AGUAGGGCGGGACACGUGGUAUCCUGUCUGAAUAUGGGGGGACCAUCCUCCAAGGCUAAAUACUCCUGACUGACCGAUAGUGAACCAGUACCGUGAGGGAAAGGCGAAAAGAACCCCGGCGAGGGGAGUGAAAAAGAACCUGAAACCGUGUACGUACAAGCAGUGGGAGCCUCUUAAUGGGGUGACUGCGUACCUUUUGUAUAAUGGGUCAGCGACUUAUAUUCUGUAGCAAGGUUAACCGAAUAGGGGAGCCGAAGGGAAACCGAGUCUUAACUGGGCGUUAAGUUGCAGGGUAUAGACCCGAAACCCGGUGAUCUAGCCAUGGGCAGGUUGAAGGUUGGGUAACACUAACUGGAGGACCGAACCGACUAAUGUUGAAAAAUUAGCGGAUGACUUGUGGCUGGGGGUGAAAGGCCAAUCAAACCGGGAGAUAGCUGGUUCUCCCCGAAAGCUAUUUAGGUAGCGCCUCGUGAAUUCAUCUCCGGG
rnacentral:rRNA from 1 species